rnacentral:lncRNA from 1 species
CACCAACAACCCCAUCUCUCUCACCAUGCAAAUCGACCAUCGCCUCUAAACCACCCUUCGCCGUCAAACUCACAUCUUCAUUCACCACCGAAAAACCCCACCGUGAAUCACGAUUCACCUCACCGUUCAUCUUCAUCAUCCUUCAACCUCCGACGAAACCCAACCCUUUUCUCCGUUCUCUCCAUCUCCAUCUCGCAGCCACAUCACUCACCAAG